rnacentral:rRNA from 1 species
CACCAGACUCCUACGGGAGGCAGCAGUGGGGAAUAUUGCACAAUGGGGGAAACCCUGAUGCAGCGACGCCGCGUGAGCGAUGAAGUAUUUCGGUAUGUAAAGCUCUAUCAGCAGGGAAGAAGAUGACGGUACCUGACUAAGAAGCCCUGGCUAACUACGUGCCAGCGGCCGCGGUAAUACGUAGGGGGCAAGCGUUAUCCGGAUUUACUGGGUGUAAAGGGAGCGUAGACGGCGAUGCAAGCCAGAUGUGAAAGCCCGGGGCUCAACCCCGGGACUGCAUUUGGAACUGUGUGGCUGGAGUGUCGGAGAGGCAGGCGGAAUUCCUAGUGUAGCGGUGAAAUGCGUAGAUAUUAGGAGGAACACCAGUGGCGAAGGCGGCCUGCUGGACGAUGACUGACGUUGAGGCUCGAAAGCGUGGGGAGCAAACAGGAUUAGAUACCCUGGUAAG